rnacentral:rRNA from 1 species
ACUCGAGUGGCGGACGGGUGAGUAACACGUGGGUGAUCUGCCCUGCACUUCGGGAUAAGCUUGGGAAACUGGGUCUAAUACCGGAUAGGAGCCAUCUUUAGUGUGGUGGUUGGAAAGUUUUUCGGUGUAGGAUGAGCUCGCGGCCUAUCAGCUUGUUGGUGGGGUAAUGGCCUACCAAGGCGGCGACGGGUAGCCGGCCUGAGAGGGUGUACGGCCACAUUGGGACUGAGAUACGGCCCAG